rnacentral:rRNA from 1 species
AACCUCCGCAAUGUGAGAAAUCGCGACGGGGGGAUCCCAAGUGCCAUUCUUAACGGGAUGGCUUUUCAUUAGUGUAAAGAGCUUUUGGAAUAAGGGCUGGGCAAGACCGGUGCCAGCCGCCGCGGUAACACCGGCAGCUCUAGUGGUAGCAGUUUUUAUUGGGCCUAAAGCGUCCGUAGCCGGUUUAAUAAGUCUCUGGUGAAAUCCUGUAGCUUAACUGUGGGAAUAGCUGGAGAUACUAUUAGACUUGAGACCGGGAGAGGUUAGAGGUACUCCCAGGGUAGAGGUGAAAUUCUGUAAUCCUGGGAGGACCGCCUGUUGCGAAGGCGUCUAACUGGAACGGUUCUGACGGUGAGGGACGAAAGUUAGGGGCGCGAACCGGAUUAGAUACCCGGGUAGUCCUAACUGUAACGAUGCGGACUUGGUGUUGGGGUGGCUUUGAGUUGCUCCAGUGCCGAAGGGAAGCUGUUAAGUCCGCCGCCUGGGAAGUACGGUCGCAAGACUGAAACUUAAAGGAGUU